AUACGUAGGUGGCGAGCGUUGUCCGGAAUUACUGGGCGUAAAGGGUGCGUAGGCGGAUAAUCAAGUCAGAUGUGAAAGUCCAUGGCUUAACUGUGGGAGUGCAUUUGAGACUGAAGAUCUAGAGUGCAGGAGAGGGAAGCGGGAUUCCUAGCGUAGCGGUGAAAUGCGUAGAUAUUAGGAAGAACACCAGUGGCGAAGGCGGCUUUCUGGACUGUAACUGACGCUGAAGCACGAAAGCGUGGGGAGCAAACAGGAGUAGAUACCCUGGUAGUCCACGCCGUAAACGAUGAGUAUUAGGUGUAGGGGACGAUAGUCUUCUGUGCCGGAGCAAACGCAAUAAAUACUCCGCCUGGGGAGUACGGUCACAAGACUAAA
rnacentral:rRNA from 1 species